rnacentral:misc_RNA from 1 species
UCCGAGUUGACCCCGGCAGUCUUCGAUGAGUCCCCGCCAUAACGCGCUGGCAACAUCGAACGAGGGUUGCGCUCGUUGCGGGACUUAACCCAACAUCUCACGACACGAGCCGACGACAGCCAUGCACCACGGCUGUCACCUACAUGUCAAGCCCAGGUAAGGUUCUUCGCGUUGCGUCGAAUUAAACCACAUGCUCCACCGCUUGUGCAGGCCCCCGUCAAUUCCUUUGAGUUUUAAUCUUGCGACCGUACUCCCCAGGCGGAUAACUUAACGCGUUAGCUGCGCCACCCAAGCACCAAGUGCCCGGACAGCUAGUUAUCAUCGUUUACGGCGUGGACUAC